rnacentral:lncRNA from 10 species
CUGAAUGGAGACAGGGUCCUCUGGUACAUGCUGCUUAAGCUUGUGUUUUUAUGGGGCCCUUUCACUGAAAGCACAUAAACUUCACAUGCUUUCUCAGGAAGCGCCUUCCAUGCCUUUCCCACACUGCGCUAAUAAGUCGGGUGGAGUCCGUCUUGAAAGAGAGCAGUGAUUGAUUGUGUGUGUGUGUUGAGAACCGUGAGACUGACUUUCAUCAAGCUGCUCCAAGCCGAUUAUGGCUCUUUCCGAAAGGUGUACUAACUGCAACCCACACGGCAAGAAGGAACAAACAGCCAUCACUGAGGGCGGCUUCCCAUGGCAGCGACACCACCACUGACGGAGCACGCGCACAGAGGAGACCCGGGUCUGAGCCCAGCAGCAAGAGAAGCCCAAACAGAGACUCCGUGAGUCAGGCAAGGGAAGCGUGCCUGUUCCUAUUUCAGAGAGGAGGAAAUGGAGGCUCCAAGGGUCUAGUUCACCUGUUCAAGGGGACACACAAGAUAAUGAAAUAGCUGGUGAGA